rfam:Oryza meridionalis cultivar OR44 (W2112) chromosome 3, whole genome shotgun sequence.
AAUAAAUGUAGUUUUGCACUGUUCAUAUCUAACGUUUGAUUGUUCGUCUUAUUUAAAAAAAUUUUAGAUUAAUAUUUUUAUUGUUAUUAGAUGAUAAAACAUGAAUAGUACUUUACGUGCGACUAACUUUUUUUGAUUUUCUCAUAAAUUUUUUAAAUAAGACGGACAGUCAAACGUUGUAUAUAGAUUCUCACGACUGCACUUAUU